GGCUUGAUUUGCAAACUUUAUUUAGCGAGGAACAAUUGGAGGGCAAGUCUGGUGCCAGCAGCCGCGGUAAUUCCAGCUCCAAUAGUGUAUAUUAAUGUUCCUGCAGUUAUUCGAUGCUCGUAGUUGGAUUUCUGGGGGCUGAGAUUGGAAGGUGGCCAAGGUCACCGCCGAACUCUUCCUUCAUCCACCUGUUAACGUUGUCCGGGAUUUGUUUCUCGGCUUCAGGCUCAGGUAUUUUACCCUUUCUAUAUAUUCAUUUAUUUAUCUUCUUUUUGAGUAAAUUAUAGUGUUUCAGGCAGGCGUGCGCCGGAAUACUUUAGCAUGGAAUAAUCGAAUUGGACCGUGUAUUCUUAUAGAAUUCUUCCUUAUUUGUUGGUUUCAAGGACACGGAAAUGGUUAAUAGGGAUAGUGUUUUCAGGGGAGGCAUUAGUAUUUAAUUUCCAGAGGUGAAAUUCUUUGAAAUAUUAAAGACUAACUUAUGCGAAAGCAUUUAUUUUGCCAAUAAUGUUUUCAUUAAUCAUUGAACGAAAGUUAGGGGAUCAAAGACGAUCAGAUACCGUCCUAGUCUUAACCAUAAACGUUGCCGACUAGGGAUCGGAGGGCGUGCACAUUCCGCCUUCGGCACCUUACGAGAAAUCAAAGUCUUUUGGGUUCUGGGGGUAGUAUGGUCGCAAGGCUGAAACUUAAAGGAAUUGACGGAAGGGCACCACCAGGAGUGGAGCUUGCGGCUCAAUUUGACUCAACACGGGAAAUCUUACUAGGUCCAGACAUAGCGAGGAUUGACAGAUUGAUAGCUCUUUCUUGAUUCUAUGGGUAUUUAUUUUAAUUUUGGUGGUGCAUGGCCGUUCUUAGUUGGUGGAGUGAUUUGUCUGGUUAAUUCCGUUAAACGAACGAGACCUCAGCCUGCUAAAUAGUUACCUGUCUUUCUUUUACGAGACUUGAUAACUUCUUAGAGGGACGUUGUGUGCAACCACAAGGAAGUUGAGGCAAUAACAGGUCUGUGAUGCCCUUAGAUGUCCUGGGCCGCACGCGUGCUACACUGAUACGUACAACAAGGUAUAUGCAUUUAUGCAUCGAUGCUGCUCCGAAAUAGACACAGCUAAAUCUUCUAAAUUACGUAUCGUGCUGCGGAUAGAUCGUUGAAAUUAUGGAUCUUGAAGGUGGAAUUCCUAGUAAGCGCGGGUCAUCAACCCGCGUUGAUUACGUCCCUGCCUUUUGUACACACCGCCCGUCGCUCCUACCAAUUUCGAGUGGCUCGGUGAACCUCUUUGGACUGUCGAGCAAUCGCGAAAUUAGAGUGAACCUGGUCAC
rnacentral:rRNA from 1 species